rnacentral:rRNA from 1 species
GACAGAGGGUGCAAACGUUGUUCGGAAUUACUGGGCGUAAAGCGCAUGUAGGCGGCCAAGCAGGUCGGAUGUGAAAUCCCUCGGCUCAACCAAGGAAGUGCAUUCGAAACCGCAUGGCUGGAGUCCCGGAGAGGGUAGUGGAAUUCUCGGUGUAGAGGUGAAAUUCGUAGAUAUCGAGAGGAACACCGGCGGCGGAAGCGGCUACCUGGACGAGGACUGACGCUGAGAUGCGAAAGCGUGGGGAGCAAACAGG